rnacentral:misc_RNA from 1 species
UGCUUCCUCAAUGCCAAUUUCUCUCAUCUCCAGAAAUGUGGCCGUGAUCGGCGCCGGCGCCUCGGGCCUUGUUGCUGCACGUGAGCUCCGCCGAGAGGGCCACAAAGUCGUAGUCUUCGAACGAGAAAACCAAAUAGGCGGCACAUGGGUGUACGAUCCCCGGGUCGAACCAGACCCGUUGAGCCUCGAUCCUAACAGACUCAUAAUCCACUCGAGCCUCUACAGCUCUCUCCGCACCAACC